GCUUAUGGCCACACCAGUGUGAAUGCGCCCGAUCUCGUCUGAUUUUGGAAACUAAACACGCUUGGGCUCGGCCAGUACUUGGAUGGGAGACCGCCUGGGAACCCCGAGUGCUGUAAGCU
ensembl:rRNA 5S_rRNA 5S ribosomal RNA